UUCUCAACCACCUUGAGCCUAGGGUUUAGACUGAAACAGAAGUGUAUCCAGGCAAGAUCUAUAGAUCCCUUCUAUAGAGGGGAAAGGGGCAAGAAGAUCACGAUAAUGAUGAAACCAUGGACCCCAAGAGAUUUUCAGUUGAUUCACUUGGGUUCUCCUGGAAUACAAAACUAUCAUCGACAAAUAAAGAUAACUUUACCUA